ACCGGCAAACGGGUGCGUAACACGUACACAACUUUCCGUUAAGUGGGGCAUAGCCUAAAGAAAUUUGGAUUAAUACCCCAUAACAUAUUGAAAUGGCAUCAUUUUAAUAUUAAAGCUCCGGCGCUUAAUGAUGGGUGUGCGGCUGAUUAGGUAGUUGGCGGGGUAACGGCCCACCAAGCCUUCGAUCAGUAGCUGAUGUGAGAGCAUGAUCAGCCACACGGGCACUGAGACACGGGCCCGACUCCUACGGGAGGCAGCAGUAAGGAAUAUUGGUCAAUGGGCGCAAGCCUGAACCAGCCAUGCCGCGUGGAGGAUGAAGGUCCUCUGGAUUGUAAACUUCUUUUAUUUGGGACGAAAAAAGGGAAUUCUUUCUCGCUUGACGGUACCAGAUGAAUAAGCACCGGCUAACUCCGUGCCAGCAGCCGCGGUAAUACGGAGGGUGCAAGCGUUAUCCGGAUUCACUGGGUUUAAAGGGUGCGUAGGCGGGCAGGUAAGUCAGUGGUGAAAUCUUUGGGCUUAAC
rnacentral:rRNA from 1 species